rnacentral:rRNA from 1 species
AACAAACGCUGGCGGCGUGCCUAAUACAUGCAAGUCGAACGGGGAAAGCGUUCGGGCGAGUACUAGUGGCGCACGGGUGAGGAACGCGUGGAUAAUCUGCCUUAGAGUGGGGGAUAACUAGUCGAAAGAUUAGCUAAUACAGCAUAAGACCACAGGAGCUGAGGCUCAAGGGGUCAAAGGUUUUUCGCCCUAAGAGGAGUCCGUGUCAGAUUAGCUAGUUGGUGAGGUAACGGCUUACCAAGGCGACGAUCUUUAACUGGUCUGAGAGGAUGAUCGGUCACACUGGAACUGAGACACGGUCCAGAGUCCUUCGGGAGGAAGCAGUAGGGAAUAUUGCACAAUGGAGGAAACUCUGAUGCAGCGACGCCGCGUGAAUGAUGAAGGCCUUCGGGUCGUAAAGCUAGGUCGCAGGAGAAUAACACAAUGAAGGUACCCUGUAAGAAAGGAUCGGCUAACUUCGUGCCAGCCGCCGCGGUAACAC